rnacentral:rRNA from 1 species
GAUGAACGCUGGCGGCGUGCCUAAUACAUGCAAGUCGAGCGAACAGACGAGGAGCUUGCUCCUCUGACGUUAGCGGCGGACGGGUGAGUAACACGUGGAUAACCUACCUAUAAGACUGGGAUAACUUCGGGAAACCGGAGCUAAUACCGGAUAACAUGGUGAACCGCAUGGUUCAACAGUGAAAGACGGUCUUGCUGACACUUAUAGAUGGAUCCGCGCCGCAUUAGCUAGUUGGUAAGGUAACGGCUUACCAAGGCAACGAUGCGUAGCCGACCUGAGAGGGUGAUCGGCCACACUGGAACUGAGACACGGUCCAGACUCCUACGGGAGGCAGCAGUAGGGAAUCUUCCGCAAUGGGCGAAAGCCUGACGGAGCAACGCCGCGUGAGUGAAGAAGGUCUUCGGAUCGUAAAACUCUGUUAGUAGGGAAGAACAAAUGUGUAAGUAACUAUGCACGUCUUGACGGUACCUAAUCAGAAAGCCACGGCUAACUACGUG